AUCACACUACACAGACUGCAGACUACUAUAAAAAAUAGAUGAUGGGAGGUGUACCUGGUGGAGGUGGGAAGAUCUGGUGGGGACGAGUGCUUCUCGGAUCGGACCAUAAAUUGUGGAAACCCUGGACACAGAGGGCUCGUGGGAUAUGAAAAAGGAAGGCUGAUGAAGACGUCCGGCAAGUAUCUGCCUACCUUCCUGUUGCUCAAAACAACAUUUGACUCAAGACUGGUUAAAGUCUAUUUAAAGCAGCAACUUAUUU